rnacentral:sRNA from 1 species
AACCCCCAACAACUACACACUAUAUCUUGUGAGAAGGGUCCUACCCAGGAGUCCUGAAUGUGAUCUGAGUAUGCUCUAAGGCAGCCCCAGGAAAAGCAAUUCAGUCCCUCUCUCUUUGCCUUUAGACCUGCAGGCUGGGACAAUGAAAAGAAAAUAGCUAUUUUACACGAAAAUUUUACAACCGUGAAGCCGGAAGAUGCAUAUGAAGACUUUAUUGUGAAACCUCCCGUGAGAAAGAUAAUGCAGCAAGUGAAGGGGUGUUGGCCAGCUUCUUCAACAGUCUGUUGAGUAAAAAGACAGGCUCUCCUGGAAGUCCUGGUGCUGGUGGGGUGCAGAGCACAGCCAAGAAGUCAGGACAAAAGACUGUGUUGUCAAAUGUUCAGGAAGAACUGGAUAGAAUGACUCGAAAGCCAGACUCUAUGGUAACAAACUCUUCAACAGAAAAUGAAGCCUGAACCUCCUUAAAAAGUGCAUAUGUCGAAUGACCAAAUAACUAUGUAUAUUGAUCUGCUAAGACCAGAAUUUUUCUGAUAUGGCACAUGCUAUCAGUUUUUUGGGGCAGGGGAGAUGA